AGUAAAGUCGGCUAAUUAAGCUUUUGGGCCCAUACCCCAAAAAUGUGGGUUAAAUCCCCUCCUUUGCUU
rnacentral:tRNA from 1 species